AGCGAACGCUGGCGGCAGGCUUAACACAUGCAAGUCGAGCGGGCCCUUCGGGGUCAGCGGCAGACGGGUGAGUAACACGUGGGAACGUACCCUUUGGUUCGGAAUAACGCUGGGAAACUAGCGCUAAUACCGGAUACGCCCUUUUGGGGAAAGGCUUGCUGCCGAAGGAUCGGCCCGCGUCUGAUUAGCUAGUUGGUGGGGUAAUGGCCUACCAAGGCGACGAUCAGUAGCUGGUCUGAGAGGAUGAUCAGCCACACUGGGACUGAGACACGGCCCAGACUCCUACGAGGCAGCAGUGGGGAAUAUUGGACAAUGGGCGCAAGCCUGAUCCAGCCAUGCCGCGUGAGUGAUGAAGGCCUUAGGGUUGUAAAGCUCUUUUGUCCGGGACGAUAAUGACGGUACCGGAAGAAUAAGCCCCGGCUAACUUCGUG
rnacentral:rRNA from 1 species